GAAAAAGCAGGUUAUGGAGCAAGACCAAGACAAACGAGUAUGGAGUAUCGCCUGAGCAGACAACACUUUUGCCCUGCUGGAAGCCACUGUGAUGCUGGGUAAAAGGCAAGCCUGCUAGGACUAAUUGGAAGAAGGUGAUCCAGAUCCAGAAGGGGCAGGAAAAGUCUUGAACCACAAAUGCUUGGAGGAACUGGGAAGAUUCAUCCUAGAGAAGAGAAAGUAGCAGACUGGAAAGACAGGAACCUGGGAAUGAAAUCCUCCCUUUGCUCUGGUCCGGUUGUGUAGGGCACACAACCUCAAGGCACCUAAAAGGCACUCACAACUGUCUGUGACUGAUUUUGUGAAUUUAUUUGUGGGGUUUUAUUUAUUUAUUCAUGAGAGACACACGGAGAGAGGCAGAGACACAGGCAGAGGGAGAGGCAGGUUCCCUGUGUGGAGCUGAUGCAGAACUCAAUCCCAGGACCCUGGGAUCACAUGAAGGCAGCUGCACGACCGCUGAGCCACUCGGGCAUCCCUGCUUUAAUAUUCUUGGACUGAAAAGAGUAGAGAAAACUUUCUAACGCCCUAUUCACAUUAUUAUUCAAAUAUUUUCUUGGAAAUUAAAGCACCCCUAAUAUUUGGCCAAUUUAUGGAUCGGUUUAUGACUCAGAAAGCAAAAUAGACAUGUGUAUAUAAUAG